rnacentral:rRNA from 1 species
CCUGGUGCUAUGAGCGUCGUGGAACCACUUCGACUCCAUCCCGAACUCGACAGUGAAACGCGACCGCGGCGAAGAUACUUGGAGGGUCGCCUCCUGGGAAAAUAGCUCAGUGCCAGGU